CAAGAUACAGAACAGCUAGGAAUAUAAAAUUGUAUUUAUAUUCACAUUUCAGAUACUUUGUUUUGAUCUAAGUAUGGGGCAAAGAAGUAAAGGAGAUAGAACACCUAACACAAAAAUUGAAAUAUAUUUUGGAUGAUGCUUUCAUAGGAACUAUUCUAAAGAAGUUGGUAGAAUUUUUAAAGAACUUUAUCAAUUAAUAAAAUAUGCAGUACAAGUAUAUUUACAUGGAUUUAUAUAUAGGGAAUCAAUAAAAUUAUUUUCAACUUUUAUAGUUGUAAAAUAUUUUAAUACAGGAUGCAAAGCCACUAAGAAAGCAUUAUUUUAGCAUUUUCAAAUAUUUCAUUUGGUAUAAAUGUGAGAUAAAAGAGCUACAACACCUAAGAUUAAUGAAAUUAAAGUAGCACAUUUUGGAUAGUAUUUUCAUAAGCAACAUUUAAAAGAAAUUGCUAGAAUGUAGCAACAAAAAUGGAUGAGUUGGAUUAACUAAAACAUAUUUCAUAUAAAUAUAAUGUAUUAAUGUGAAUUUAUGUUAUUUUCACGUGCUAUAUGUGUUUUAAAUUAAAAAAGCCCUUGAAGAUCCUGG
rnacentral:lncRNA from 1 species